CUACGGGCCGCUGCAGUGGGGAAUAUUGCACAAUGGAGGAAACUCUGAUGCAGCAACGCCGCGUGGAGGAUGACACUUUUCGGAGCGUAAACUCCUUUUACAUAGGAAGAAGAUGACGGUACUAUAUGAAUAAGCGCCGGCUAACUCCGUGCCAGCAGCCGCGGUAAUACGGAGGGCGCAAGCGUUACUCGGAAUCACUGGGUGUAAAGAGCGUGUAGGCGGAUUAAAAAGUCAGAAGUGAAAUCCUAUAGCUUAACUAUAGAACUGCUUCUGAAACUCUUAAUCUAGAAUAUGGGAGAGGUAGAUGGAAUUUCUGGUGUAGGGGUAAAAUCCGUAGAGAUCAGAAGGAAUACCGAUUGCGAAGGCGAUCUACUAGAACAUUAUUGACGCUGAGACGCGAAAGCGUGGGGAGCAAACAGGAUUAGAUACCCCAGUAGUC
rnacentral:rRNA from 1 species